rnacentral:rRNA from 1 species
UACGUAGGGAGCAAGCGUUGUCCGGAAUCAUUGGGCGUAAAGCGCGCGUAGGCGGCUCGAUCAGUCUGCUGUGAAAGUCAAAGGCUCAACCUUUGAAUGCCGGUGGAUACUGUCGAGCUAGAGUCCGGAAGAGGCGGGUGGAAUUCCUGGUGUAGCGGUGGAAUGCGCAGAUAUCAGGAGGAACACCAACGGCGAAGGCAGCCCGCUGGGACGGUACUGACGCUAAGGCGCGAAAGCGUGGGGAGCAAACAGG